rnacentral:rRNA from 1 species
GAUCAUGGCUCAGGAUGAACGCUGGCGGCGUGCUUAACACAUGCAAGUCGAGCGAAGCACCUAAGAAAGAUUCUUCGGAUGAAUUCUUUUGUGACUGAGCGGGCGGACGGGUGAGGUAACGCGUGGGUAACCUGCCUCAUACAGGGGGAUAACAGUUAGAAAUGACUGCUAAUACCGCAUAAGACCACGGUACCGCAUGGUACAGUGGUAAAAACUCCGGUGGUAUGAGAUGGACCCGCGU